CGAGAUUCCAACCUUAACACCUAGCUACAAGCUCAAAAAUACAACUCGAGAACCUUUAAGCAUGACACCAAAUGUUUUCUGGUCUCUGAAAGAGAGCCUUCAAUUAACGGGGUGGGUGGGCUGUCACUUCUUUCUUUCCUACAGUGCUGGCAAUGUGCAGCAGGCAAGCACUCUACCAGAGCUAUCCCCAACCCAGUAGAUUUUUUUUUGAAACAAGGCUAUCCUAGAACUCACAGAUCCACCUGUGUCUGCCCGUCUCCCAAGUGCCAGGAUUAAAGGUGUAAACCACCACACUCAGCAUCCCAACAAGAACUAUUGUUUUUUUGAGACAGGUUCUCAACAUGUAGCCUUGGCUGGCCUGAAACCCACAAUGAAGACCAGGCUGGCCUUGAACUGUGAGUUUCAAAUAACAUUAACAAACAAAAAACUAACCAAACAAACUAACACCCAAACUGCAGUUAUGAGUUACGGGUUAUGAGGAAUAAGCGAGUGGCUGCAUUCUUUAUUAUUUUCUGUGUUACAACCUCUCUAUCACAACUAUUCAGAAUUUACCAGAGGUGGAGGCCCUCGAGGGGAGACUAUGAAUUACUUAAGGAAAUAAACACACCAAAACUAGCCACAAUAGAAACUUUCAGUUUCCAUGGUCUAAAAUAGCAUUUUUGUAAACCACGUAAGCUGUACAAAAGUGGCAUUUCCAGGGUCACAGUUAUGGUUGCUAGCUGCCACUUAAACAUGGCUUUCAUUGAGGGGCCUUCCAUUCUGUACAGACUUGUACUCCAUACCACCUAUACAAGUAAAUUAGUUUCAAAACCACCCAGACAUUUAACGUGAAGGUAAGUUCUGAUAAUUGUUUGAGGUCGGCCCAGUCAAGUUUGCAUCAAAGCCUGCCUGACUGCCAAGUCCACACUUGCACCGCGGGAGAACAUGUCCUGCUUUAAUCACGGCACAAGUGGAGACGGUUUCUAUUCUAAAUUUAUUGUCACUGCAUCAGAACUACUAUGAGACAGAGCACAGACGAUGCUGAUGAAAGGUGGGCUCCAAACAGUGCUCCCUGGGUAAACUGCGCAUACUGAAGGAGGAACUCGGUACAAAUAAGCAAACCCCAAACCAGUGUCUAUCUCCCAGUGAUCCAAACUGGUAUUUCUGGUCGGAGAAGCAGGAGUGGGUGCAUCUCUGGGCGGCUGCAGGACUCGGCCCCAGUCGCCCCCCGCCCCCAACUCCCCGGCCGCAGCGGCUGAAGGCCCCGCUCGCUGCCCCUGGCGUACCUGGCUCUCGGCGGCGGGGAUGCCGGACUCCAGCUCGCACAGCGCGCGGAAGUUAUGCAGCUCGAAGUCGGCGUCGACCUGGAGGGAAAAGGUCACCUCGGAGAGGUCCCUCCGAACACAGUACACGGCACCUACCUUGCGGACAUAAAAAUGGAAGAAAGCCACGACUCCUCACCCUUAACUCUCCAUCUGCUAUGGGAAACUCAACCAAACAUCUUUCUAACACAGAUUUUUCAAAAUGGAAAUCGGCAUUAUAAUAUUAACUUUUCGCCUUGGUAAUUAAAUGUAAGACGGAAACCCAAAUCCUUCGUUUGUCUGAUCCCUAGAGCUCACUUUGCUGUGCUCGGGCGCGCUUCUGUGCUGGCAGAAGCACCACUCAGUCCCCUUCUGCCUUAGUUACCUCACCCUCAGCCUCCGCAAAUCCACCAUCCAGCUGAGGAGUCUACCUGGGCAAUCCCAACCUACGAAAAGAAAGUACUUGGUAAAUACUUGCUAUUUACCACCCACCUAUUUAAGACCACCCAGUUCAUACGGGGAUAUAGAGAGGAAGGCACAAGAAUGAUAAAAAUCCAUGCGGGCUGGCGUGGUGGCGCACACCUUUAACCCCAGCACUUGGGAGGCAGAGGCAGGUGAAUUUCUGUGAGUUCGAGGCCAGCCUGGUCUACAAAGUGAGUUCCAGGCUACUCAAAGGCACACGGAGAAACCCUGUCUCGAAAGACCAAAAAAAAAAAAAAAAAGAAAAAAAAGGUAGAAAUCCAAAAUCUCCUCCAGGAACACUAGGGUGGCCCACAUUUGUAAUUUCAGCACUCAGGAACAGAGGCUGGAGGAUUACUGCAAAUACAAGUUUUCCCACUCCUGGCUCCACAGUGAACAGGCAGCCUUCUCUAACAUAACAGGAAGGAAAUAGGAAGCAAGAUGGCUGCAGAUGCCACAAGAACUUCAGUUUGUUUGCAGAGAAGGCAGACUUUUACAACGCCAGAAGUGGGAAAACUGGGCCCCCAGGACAGUGCUGCUAUCAAGGACUGGGUGACAGAAAGCCCAACUACAGGGCAAAUUAAAGUCAAAUUGCAAAGAGCCUUUCAAAACGGAGUUGGGAAAUGAGAUUUCUGAGGACGCCAGGUGCCCCUCAUGAUGGGAGCUCUAAUCACCUUCACGCUUGGAUUGUGUCAUCUGAAGGAGAUGAUUAACUUGUGCCUAGAUUUUCAUGGACAUCAAGAUGUUAUUGUUGGAUGAAUCGUUUCUUGGAAAAAAAUUAAAUUUUGCCAGGUAGUUCUGGCACAUGCCUCUAAUCUCAGGAGGCAGAGGCAGGAGGGUCUCUGAAUUCAAAGUCAACCUGCUCUACAGAGUGAGUUCCAGGACAGCCAAGGCUACACAGAGAAACCUUGUCUCAAAAAGCAAAAGAUUUUUUUCUUGGGGCUGGAGAGAUGGCUCAGCGGUUAAGAGCACUGCUUACUCUUCCAAAGGUCCUGAGUUCAAUUCCCAGCAACCACAUGGUGGCUCACAACCAUCUGUAAUGAGGUCUGGUGCCCUCUUCUGGCCUGCAGACAUACACACAG